rnacentral:rRNA from 1 species
CCUGGUUGAUCCUGCCAGUAGUCAUAUGCUUGUCUCAAAGAUUAAGCCAUGCAUGUGUAAGUACAGGCCGACUUAAGGCGAAACCGCGGACGGCUCAUUAAAUCAGAUAUAACUCAUUGGAUCUCUGCUGAACCGCAUUACUUGGAUAACUGUGGUAAUUCUAGAGCUAAUACAUGCUUUGUAGUCUCCGACCGCGAGGGAGGAGCGCUUUUAUUAGACCAAAACCCUCGGCAGCCGGUUCCCGCAAGGGCCGGCCGCACACAUCUUGGUGAAUCAGAAUAACUUUUGCCGAGCGCACGACCCUCCCGUAACCCGGGUUGGGUCGGCGCCGCGUCCUGCAGGCGUCUGCCUUAUCAGCUCUCGAUUGUAGGUUAAACGCCUACAAUGGCUAUCACGGGUAACGGGGAAUCAGGGUUCGAUUCCGGAGAGGGAGCCUGAGAAACGGCUACCACAUCUAAGGAAGGCAGCAGGCGCGCAAAUUACCCACUCCCGGCACGGGGAGGUAGUGACGAAAAAUACUGUUGCGAGCCCGAACGGGGCCUCGCAAUUGGAAUGAGUACACUUUAAAUCCUUGUACGAGGAUCGAGUGGAGGGCAAGUCUGGUGCCAGCCGCCGCGGUAAUUCCAGCUCCACUAGCGUAUAUUAAAGUUGUUGCGGUUGAAACGCUCGUAGUUUGACUUCUGCUCCGGACCGGCGGUCCGCCUUAGCGGCGGCUACUGCCGGGUUCCGAGCUGUGUCCCGCCGGCGCACAUGGGGUUUUUAUGCCCUUAACCGGGUGUCCCCUUGUGGCCGGCACGUUUACUUUGAAAAAAUUAGAGUGCUCAGAGCAGGCUGGUUUUUGCUUACAGCCCGAAUGGUCGUGCAUGGAAUGAUGGAACAGGACCUCGGUUCUAUUUUGUCGUUUUUCGGAACCCGAGGUAAUGAUUAAUAGAAGCAGACGGGGCAUUCGUACUGCGACGCUAGAGGUGAAAUUCUUAGACCGUCGCAUGACGACCUACUGCGAAAGCAUCUGCCAAGGAUGUUUUCAUUGAUCAAGAACGAAAGUUAGAGGUUCGAAGGCGAUCAGAUACCGCCUAGUUCUAACCUUAAACGAUGCUGACUAGCGAUCCGCCGCAGUUAUUCCCAUCGCCUCAACGAGAAAAUUGCCCAACUGCGACGAAACGGGACCUUCUGGUGGGCGAGACCGGACAGCAAGACCCAGAUCACAGCCGAAUAUUUCUUUGACAACGGGUCCGCCAUCCCGUUCCACGUGCACACCGUCGUCGUGUCGGUCCAGCACUCCGAGAAGAUCACCCUGGACCAACUCCGGACCGAGGUCAUGGAGAAAGCCAUCAAGACGGUGAUCCCUGCGGAGCUCCUGGACGAGAAGACCAAAUACCACAUCAACCCUUGCGGGGAUUUCGUCAUCGGAGGACCUCAGGGCGAUGCGGGUCUCACGGGCAGGAAGAUCAUUGUUGACACGUACGGGGUUGGGGAGCUCACGGAGGAGGUGCCUUCUCCGGCAAGGACUACACGAAGGUGGAUCGCUCUGCCGCCUACGCCGCUCGGUGGGUCGCCAAGUCCCUAGUCAAGGGCGGGCUUUGCAAGAGAUGCCUCGUCCAGGUGUCGUAUGCCAUUGGCGUCGCAGAACCCAUCAGCAUCAGCAUCUUCCACUACGGGACUUCCAAGUACACGUCCAGCAGUUGCUACAAAUCGUGAACGAAAACUUCGACCUCCGACCUGGCCGCAUCGUCAAGGAACUCGGGCUGAAGAGGCCGAUCUACAGAGAGACCUCCUGUUACGGACACUUCGGCAGAGACCAGUUCCCGUGGGAACAGCC